rnacentral:rRNA from 1 species
UACGGGGGGGGCAAGCGUUGUUCGGAAUUACUGGGCGUAAAGGGCUCGUAGGUGGCCAACUAAGUCAGACGUGAAAUCCCUCGGCUUAACCGGGGUACUGCGUCUGAUACUGGAUGGCUUGAGUUUGGGAGAGGGACGCGGAAUUCCAGGUGUAGCGGUGAAAUGCGUAGAUAUCUGGAGGAACACCGGUGGCGAAGGCGGCGUCCUGGACCAACACUGACACUGAGGAGCGAAAGCCAGGGGAGCAAACGGG